CCUACGGGGGGCUGCAGUGGGGAAUAUUGGACAAUGGGGGCAACCCUGAUCCAGCCAUGCCGCGUGUGUGAAGAAGGCCUUCGGGUUGUAAAGCACUUUAAGUGGGGAGGAAGGCUCGCUGGUUAAUAGUCAGCGGGAGUGACGUUACCCACAGAAUAAGCACCGGCAAACUCCGUGCCAGCAGCCGCGGUAAUACGGAGGGUGCGAGCGUUAAUCGGAAUUACUGGGGGUAAAGCGCACGUAGGAUGUUAAAUCCCUGGGCUCAACAUGGGAGCGGCAUUCGAUACUGGCAGACUUGAAUACGGUAGAGGGGGGUGGAAUUCCAGGUGUAGCGGUGAAAUGCGUAGAGAUCUGGAGGAACACCAGUGGCGAGGGCGGCCCCCUGGACCGAUAUUGACGCUGAGGUGCGAAAGCGUGGGGAGCAAACAGGAUUAGAUACCCGAGUAGUC
rnacentral:rRNA from 1 species